GACGAACGCUGGCGGCGUGCCUAAUACAUGCAAGUUGAGCGCUGAAGGUUGGUACUUGUACCGACUGGAUGAGCAGCGAACGGGUGAGUAACGCGUGGGGAAUCUGCCUUUGAGCGGGGGACAACAUUUGGAAACGAAUGCUAAUACCGCAUAAAAACUUUAAACACAAGUUUUAAGUUUGAAAGAUGCAAUUGCAUCACUCAAAGAUGAUCCCGCGUUGUAUUAGCUAGUUGGUGAGGUAAAGGCUCACCAAGGCGAUGAUACAUAGCCGACCUGAGAGGGUGAUCGGCCACAUUGGGACUGAGACACGGCCCAAACUCCUACGGGAGGCAGCAGUAGGGAAUCUUCGGCAAUGGACGAAAGUCUGACCGAGCAACGCCGCGUGAGUGAAGAAGGUUUUCGGAUCGUAAAACUCUGUUGGUAGAGAAGAACGUUGGUGAGAGUGGAAAGCUCAUCAAGUGACGGUAACUACCCAGAAAGGGACGGCUGACUACGU
rnacentral:rRNA from 1 species